GACGAACGCUGGCGGCGUGCCUAAUACAUGCAAGUCGAACGAAGCUGUUUUAACUGGUGCUUGCACCGACUUAAACAACUGAGUGGCGAACGGGUGAGUAACACGUGGGUAACCCGCCCCAAAGCGGGGGAUAACAUUUGGAAACAGAUGCUAAUACCGCAUAACCACAGAAACCACAUGGUUUCUGUGUCAAAGAUGGUUUCGGCUAUCACUUUGGGAUGGACCCGCGGCGUAUUAGCUAGUUGGUAAGGUAAUGGCUUACCAAGGCAAUGAUACGUAGCCGAACUGAGAGGUUGAUCGGCCCCAUUGGGACUGAGACACGGCCCAAACUCCUACGGGAGGCAGCAGUAGGGAAUCUUCCACAAUGGACGAAAGUCUGAUGGAGCAACGCCGCGUGAGUGAAGAAGGUUUUCGGAUCGUAAAACUCUGUUGUCAGAGAAGAACGUGUGCGAGAGUAACUGUUCGUGCAGUGACGGUAUCUGGCCAGAAAGCCACGGCUAACUACGUGCCAGCAGCCGCCGUAA
rnacentral:rRNA from 1 species